rnacentral:lncRNA from 1 species
AACUUAUAAAGAUUGCCUUAGUCUGUUCAUGCUGAUGUGAAAAAAUACCACAGGUUGGGUAAGAUAGAAAUAACUGAAGUCUAUUACUUACCCAAAUCAUGUUUAGAUGCUGGAACAUUCAAGAUGGAGGGACUGACAGAUUCAGUGUCUGAUGAGGACUUCUCUCUGCUUCCAAGGUGGUACCGGACAUGGUAGAGGAGGUAGAAUUUGUGUUCUCACAUGCCAUAAGGCAAAAGGCAUUUCCUUGAACCCUCAAAAAGGACACUAAUCCCAUUCACGAUUGUAGUGUUCUUUGGCCUGAUUACCUCCUGGUAUGGUCUGGAUCUGAAUGUUUCCCAAAGACUCAUGUAUUGAAGACCUUGUCCCCAAUGCAGCAAUGUUCAGGGGUGGUGUUUGGGGGAAGCAUUGAUGAUGGUGCAUUGAUCAUAACGGCUUUAACAUGAUCAAUGGAUUAACCUCUUCAUGGAGUUACAGCUGAUUGGACUAUUGGGAGGUGGUGCAAACUAUAGGAGGUGAGAUUAGUUGAAGCGAGUAGGUCCUUGGGGGCAUGCAAUUGGGGACUGACUAUAUCUUGUCCCCUGUCUCUUUCUUCCUCUCUCUUAGCUUUCUGGUUGUCCUAAGGCGAGCAGCCUCCUCCAGCACAUGCUCCUGCUGCCAUGAAGCUCUGCCUCCCUAUAAGCCAGAAAAAAUGGACACCUGGCCCUGGACUGAAAGCUCUGAAACUGUGAGACAAAGUAAAUCUUUUCUUCUUUGGAUUAUUUUUCUCAAGUACUUUGUCACAAUUAUAGAAAACCUCCAAAAAGUUCCCACCUCUUGAUACCAUCACCUUCAAGUUUAACUUCCAACAUGGUUUUUUGGAGGAGCACAUGUUUUCAAACCAGAACAAACACCAGCAAUUAUCUGGUUUCCCCAUGAUCUGAAUGUUGUGUUGCUUUUAGAGCAAUCAGAGACAUCCAUGCCGGUUUAUACCCACACCUUCUCAGAACUCC